rnacentral:lncRNA from 1 species
GCAUUGUCUUGACCAGAGAUGAAGGCGCUCCAAUCAUUGUAUGUCCAGCAAAUCUAUUGGUCCCAUUCCUGCCCUCCCAUCUGCGAAAUGCGCUGGCGUCGGCCUCACAUGCCUCGCUCCUGCCUGGAACGAGGUGCGCAUGCUCACUGUCACUUUCACACUGAUCUUCCACUGUCCUGGAACGCAUUGCAAAGCCACUCAGUUUCCAUUCUGCUGUCCAGCAUUCGGAAGUGCAGAUCAUUGAUGCUGUGGUUUCCCCUGAUGGCCUCAGGAUCUCAGUCUCCACAGACUACAGCACACUCAAUGGACAUGCUGCAGUCGAAGGAAGAUUGCGCAGAU